UUUUUCUAAAAACAAACUAUAAUUUGGAACGGAAAGAGCAGUUGCAUUCAAGCCUAGCUGGAACGAGCCAAUUCCUGGCAGCUUAAGCAUCAGUUCAUCACCAAACCAAAUACGUAUCAUCAUCUCGGGUAGGAGUCUUUCAUAAUGAACAAGGCACCUCAGCUUGUGCUGCUAGCCUACUACCACCUGACUACCUGCACGCGAGAGAGGAUGAUCCCUGCAAAGGCUGCAGCCUAAAUGCAAUUGAGGAGAUAGCCUAAAUGAUUUCUCUUAACUGACCUGUAGGUGUUCGAUCAGCUCAGAGGCUAGCUAUUUGCACAAGAAUAUAAGUACUAUUGAGCAUACGCUACGAUGUGCCAACAAUAACAGGCGCCGAUUAUUCUCGCGUCAGAAACUCGCUUCGUGCAGCGGUGCAAGACUGCAAGAAGCCAUGGCAGCUAGUGACAUCAACCGAUGACGGAGACGACGACGCUGACGGCGAGCACCACGAACAGCAUGAUGAAGAAGACCCAGAAGUGGAAGGCGAGCACGCCGUGGGCAUGGCCGUGGCAGGCGACGAGCAUCCAGAGGACGUCGGUGGCGUGGUAGGAGGUGAGCCAGCCCAGCAAGCAGCCGAAGGCGGCGACCGGCCGCGCCGGCACGAGCAGCGCCGCCGUGCCCGCGAGCACCUGCGCCG
rnacentral:lncRNA from 1 species